GCUUGGCUGGCUCAGUCAGCAGAGCAUGUGACUCUUGAUCUCAGGAUUGUGAGUUCAAGCCUCAUGUUGGGUG
rnacentral:tRNA from 1 species